UGAAUUCUUCGUUAGGUGAGGCUCCUGCAUAAAUACAGGCCACUGCCCAAAAACGUCGAGAGACACCAAUGGGUAUAACAGGUAUUACCGGAUUAAGGUUUUACAUAAUGUGGCUGAGUAAUUUAAGUUCGUACUCUACGUUAUGCAGUGCUAAAACUCAAACGAGUGAGGAAGGUU
rnacentral:sRNA from 2 species